UACGUAGGGACCAAGCGUUGUUCGGAUUUACUGGGCGUAAAGGGCGCGUAGGCGGCAAUUCAAGUCAUCUGUGAAAUCUCCGGGCUUAACCCGGAACGGUCAGGUGAUACUGUUUUGCUAGAGUGCGGAAGGGGCAAUCGGAAUUCUCGGUGUAGCGGUGAAAUGCGUAGAGAUCGGGAGGAACACCAGUGGCGAAGGCGGCCGGCUGGGGGUGACCUGACGCUGAGGCGCGAAAGCGUGGGGAGCGAACCGG
rnacentral:rRNA from 1 species